GCCCUGGUGGUGUAACAGUUAACACGCGUGAAUUGCAUAGGUGACCCCAUUGGCUCUUCGUGAGACCUUUGUUCGAUUCGGAGUCAGGCCG